CAGUGUGUGACUACAGGAAACCCCACAGGAACUCCAUACAAGGACCCUUCCUGGCUCUCUGUUGUAGCUCUGCUGUCUGUGGCAGGGAUUCUGCCUUGCUUUUGUGCUUGGAGAGCUGCAAGGACCUGAGAGCCAAGACCUCAUUACUCAAGAUUCCCUGCGGCUGAAGGACAACUUCAUCCAAGCAGGCAAGACCUGGGCCAUUUCUGAGUAUCUCAUGUUCUGUGUCCAGCUGAGAGGAGUUUGGAUGGCAUCACCAUGUACAGGUGUCAUCUGAAGAGGUGGACACUGAAGGAGGAAUCAGCUGUGUUCCCUGCCUGGCAAGGCAUAAUUGCUACUUCAGGAAUGUUAACUGCAAAUUGCAUGUCAGCAAUGGAUGCAAUCUAAUGGGAGAUUCUCCUGAGCUUCCCAGAUCCACAGGUGUUUCCAUCUCCUGAUGCCACCAAAGUUUUCUCAGGAAGGAAAUG